rnacentral:rRNA from 1 species
GACGAACGCUGGCGGCGUGCCUAAUACAUGCAAGUCGAACGCUGAAGGAGGAGCUUGCUUCUCCGGAUGAGUUGCGAACGGGUGAGUAACGCGUAGGUAACCUGCCUGGUAGCGGGGGAUAACUAUUGGAAACGAUAGCUAAUACCGCAUAACAGUAGAUAUUGCAUGAUAUCUGCUUGAAAGGUGCAAUUGCAUCACUACCAGAUGGACCUGCGUUGUAUUAGCUAGUUGGUGAGGUAACGGCUCACCAAGGCGACGAUACAUAGCCGACCUGAGAGGGUGAUCGGCCACACUGGGACUGAGACACGGCCCAGACUCCUACGGGAGGCAGCAGUAGGGAAUCUUCGGCAAUGGACGGAAGUCUGACCGAGCAACGCCGCGUGAGUGAAGAAGGGUUUCGGAUCGUAAAGCUCUGUUGUAAGAGAAGAACGAGUGUGAGAGUGGAAAGUUCACACUGUGACGGUAUCUUACCAGAAAGGGACGGCUAACUACGUG